UGUCCUGUAGGAUCGGCCUACCCUCAGCCCUGUGACACUGGCUUCUACUGUGGUCAGACUGGUCUGGAAGCCCCCAGUGGCCUCUGUACCCCAGGCUAUUUCUGCUCCAGGGGUUCCACGACCCCUCACGUCUCACUCUGCCCACCUGGACACUACUGCCCCCAGGGCACACCUCUCCCUCUACCUUGCCCUCCUGGAACCCUGAAGGGUCGAUCGGGCGGGUCCACAGUGGACGAUUGCCAGCCUUGCCCCCCUGGUUAUUACUGCGAUCAGAUAGGCUUGGUCGAGCCCAGCGGUCAGUGUGCUGCUGGCUACUACUGUCCUGGGGGACAGAGCACUGAUAGACCGUCGCAACAUGUGUGUGGAGUUGGUCAUUUCUGCAAGGAGGGUAGCGUGAGAGAGAGAGCCUGUUCCCCAGGCAGCUACCAGCCUAGUGAGGGUCAGCACCGAUGUGAGGUGUGUCCUUCUGGCUUCUACUGUCUUGAAGAAGGUAAGCA